ensembl:lincRNA
GAUUAAUACAUUUGUGAAAACACUGAUUAAUAGCAUAUGUCUUCUGAUACAUACAUAUAAAUGGUAGCCCAGCAGGUUUUGGUUUUAGCCUUGAAUAUGUAUCUUGCGUGUUAGCCUGAGCAAGUCCUUUAGCUGAUGUAAGCCUAAAAAGUGAGGAAACUAAUAUCAGUCCUAGUGGGCUCAGAUAUUACUGUGCGGAUAAAAGAAAGUAUGGUAUAUAGAUGGACUCUAUGAUUGAAUGAAUAGUAUCCAGAUUUAUCAUAUUCAAUCAGUGCAUAGUAUGGGACAAUAUAUAUUUAUGCCUUAAAGCUCAAUAUCCUCUGCAAAAUUUAUGACAUUGCUAUUUAAAAUAAGCAUGACCUUUCCACUAGGUUAAAUAGUCUUUUUUUUUUUUACUAUAACUUUAUUAUUUUUUUUAACCCCCUCUCCCACCUCCCUCCCCAUAACAUCUCUCUGGGUCAACUAAAUAGUCUUAUAAUCAGCAAAACAGUAAAGCUGGUCCUUUAUUGGAUUGUAAGAAUUUAGAAGUAUUUUAUAGAUAAUGAUUUAAUAAAUUUCUAGUGAAAUUUAAGUGGAUGAAAUGAUAGCAUCUAUCCUCUGGUAUUCAAAUAGGUUGCUGCUCCCUUCCUCUAAGACACCUAAUUCUAUCCUUACCUGUGGGCUCCCGACUUACACUACAUCCCUGUCCCGAGCGACUGUUGCAUGUUAGUCUCUCUCUGUGUGAACUUCUUGUGUUCCCUCUUUUUUGUCCUUUACAAUAAAUUCUUAUCGUUAAAUGAUGUCUUUAAAGUGCCUGAGGUUAAGAAGAAAGUGCCAGAGAAGAAAGUGAUCAUUCCCAAGAAAGAGGAGGUUCCUCCUGCCAAAGGUACUGCUCUUCCCAAGCAAAUUAGACACUGCCAUCUCUUUCUUCACCUGUAAAUGCCAGAAUGGCCCGUUUCCCAGUGUUGGUUAACAUAACUUACAAUAUUGUGGUGUCCGUUGUCUCUGUGUUCAUGAAACUGAACUUACAAAAUAAUAUCUUUGAAGUGCCCGUGGUGCCUAAGAAACCUGAACCAGAAAAGAAGGUGCCUCCACCCGGUCUUAAGAAAGCAGCGCCUCCUCCUGCCAAAGUUCCUGAGGUGCCUAAGAAGGUGGAAGAAAAACGCAUCAUUGUCCCUGAAGAAGAGGAAGUUCCACCAGUUGAAGUGUUUGAGGAGCCUGAAGAGCCUAUUCCAGAAGAGGAGAUCCCAGAGGAACCACCUAUCGUAGAGGAGGUUGAGGAGGUGGCGCCACCUAGAGGUACAGCUGAUUUUAUGGAUUGGCCAUUCAUUCGAUAUCUUUCCCAGAAGUCACCUAAACCUAAUAUUCACCAGUAUACUUUACUUACAUCAUAUCAGUGAUAAAUUGAAGAUUAUUUAUGAUAAGCACCUGAAACUUUGUGUCCCUUUUCUUUACCCAACUUGUUCCACUGCAUUUGCAGUACAAUUAGAAUGAGAGAGAGAAUUUUAUGUUAUUGACACCUUGAUUUUUUCUGGUCAGCUGCUAUUGUAAUACUUUCUCCUCGUUUUCAAUCCUUAGUAUUUUUCUUCGGUAGGAAAGUGGGGAAAACCUAUUUCUAUGGUGUUCGCCCUUGAGAAUAAUUCUUAUGCUUUCGUUGCUAAAGACUAUGACAGUCUUUUGCAUAGUUUAUGCAAACCUUUGUUUGCUUAUAGGAUUUCCAAGUAAUAUUCCUCUCACCUUUAGAGUCAGUACUUCAUAUGUGUAAUUACCAUUUAGGUUGCUAAUAUCUUUUGUAAAAUAAAUCAAUGUUUUGUGUUUGGAUUUUUUUUUGUUUAUGGUAGUUCUGUUUAUUGUAUGUCAUUUUUCAAAACGUCUGUUAAAUAUCUUUUAAGUGCCUGAAGUGGUUAAGAAAGCAGUACCUGAAGCACCUACUCCUGUUCCUAAAAAAGUGGAGGCACCACCAGCUAAAGGUAUAGCAGAUCCUUUUACUAAAGAUAAUAUUUUUAAAUUCUUAUCCAUCUUCUUUUAAAAAACAAAAGUAUCUUCUUUCACUGCAUUCUUAGAGUCAUUUAAAUAGAGAGCUUAUGAAAUUAAUUAAAAACCUGUAAAAAUAUAAUUC